rnacentral:rRNA from 1 species
AUGUUGCGCCGAAGAUAACCGGGGCUAAAACCUGACACCGAAGCUUGGGAAUCAUACGAUAAGUAUGAUUGGUAGAGGAGCAAUCCUAACGCGCAGAAGCUAUAGCGGAAGCGGUAGUGGAGAGUUAGGAAGAGAGAAUGCCGGCAUAAGUAGCGAAAGAGGAGCGAGAAACUCCUCCGUCGAAAGCCUAAGGUUUCCUGGGGAAGGUUCGUCCGCCCAGGGUAAGUCGGGACCUAAGUCGAGGCCGAAAGGCGUAGAUGAUGGACAAACGGUUGAGAUUCCGUUACCGUCGUACAGACCGAAGCAGGGACACAGAAGGAUAGUCAGACCACGGGGAUGGAAAGCCGUGGGCAAGCACUGAGGCCGGGUGGCAGUGAAGUACACCACCCGUUAAGGCUGGGGUGUGAAGCGGAGCGGACAAGAGAAGCGAAGCUGACGAAUUCACGCUGGCGAGAAAAGCUGCUAGGAUAUGUGUAAGGCGCCCGUACCGCAAACCGACACAGGUAGGCGGCAAGAAAAUUGCAAGACGAGCGGGAUAACCUUUGUUAAGGAACUCGGCAAAAUGACCCCGUAACCUCGGGAGAAGGGGAGCCUGGAGACAGGCCACAGAAAAGAGGCCCAAGCGACUGUUUACCUAAAACACAGGUCUCUGCGAAAGCGAAAGCUGAAGUAUAGGGGCUGACGCCUGCCCGGUGCCGGAAGGUCAAGGGGAUGUGUUAGGAUUUAGUCCGAAGCAUUGAACUUAAGCCCCGGUGAACGGCGGCCGUAACUAUAACGGUCCUAAGGUAGCGAAAUUCCUUGUCAGGUAAGUUCUGACCCGCAUGAAUGGCGUAACGAUUUGGGCGCUGUCUCAACAAGGGACCCGGCGAAAUUGUAGUAUAUGUGAAGAUGCAUAUUACCCGCGACUGGACGGAAAGACCCCGUAGAGCUUUACUGCAGUUUGGCAUUGAGUUUCGGUAAUGGAUGCACAGGAUAGGUGGGACGCUGAGAGACCCGGGUUUCGGCCUGGGAGGAGCGGCCGUUGGGAUACCACCCUUCUGUUACUGGAAUUCUCAACGGAAUGCGGUUACCCCGGUUCCGGACAUUGUCAGGCGGGCAGUUUGACUGGGGCGGUCGCCUCCUAAAGAGUAACGGAGGCGCUCAAAGGUUCUCUCAGAAUGGUUGGAAACCAUUUGCAGAGCGUAAAGGUAUAAGAGAGCUUAACUGCGAGACAAACGAGUCAAGCAGAUACGAAAGUAGGACUUAGUGAUCCGGCGGUAGAGA